rnacentral:rRNA from 1 species
GAUGAACGCUGGCGGCGUGCUUAACACAUGCAAGUCGAGCGAGAAGUUUUGAAAAGAUUCUUCGGAUGAAAUUUAAAAUGGAAAGCGGCGGACGGGUGAGUAACGCGUAGGCAACCUGCCCCAUACAAAGGGAUAGCAUUUGGAAACGAAUAUUAAUACCUUAUGAAACUUAACUAGUGCAUGCUAGGUAGGUCAAAGAUUUAUCGGUAUGGGAUGGGCCUGCGUCUGAUUAGCUAGUUGGUGAGGUAACGGCUCACCAAGGCGACGAUCAGUAGCCGACCAGCGAGGGUGAGCGGCCACAUUGGACCUGAGACACGGUCCGGACUCCUACGGGAGGCAGCAGUGGGGAAUAUUGCAAAAUGGGGGAAACCCUGAUGCAGCAACGCCGCGUGAACGAUGAAGGCCUUUGGGUCGUAAAGUUCUGUUCUAGGUGAUGAAAACUGACAGUAACCUAGGAGAAAGCCCCGGCUAACUCCGUG